UUUGCCCAUGCAAUUUCCUAUGAACGAUAAGACUCUAUGGUCAUAGUAUUAGUCGGGGAGGCUAAAUAUUCUAACACAUACUGUAAGAUUCUUGAUAUCAUCACUAUUGGGGCAGAAGUUUGCACUGCACUCCCUCACAGAGAGGUAGCGGUCGUAGAUAAGCCAACGUGACAAGUUAGUAUUCUUGGACAAGGUCCACAAUACACAAUAUUCCUCUUUUCGCCCAAAGUUAUUUCAACAUGUUCUCUAGGGCUUUAUACCAUAUUCUUCUUC
rnacentral:lncRNA from 1 species